GAUUGGGAGGCUGGUCCUGGGAGAAGGAGGGGCCCUGGCGAGAGGUUCCCGGGACAAAGUGAAAAGGCACUUAAAAUAAAGAGGUCCAGCAGAAUGGAGUCCUGAAAGGGGGGAAAUGGUUCCCCACCACCAUCCUGCUCUGCAUUCCGAUGUCCUGCUGAGGGACAGUGGGAAAGCUGAGGGGCAGGUUUAACUUUUGAGUAAACUCCGAGAUGAUCCCGGUAAAGGUGUGAUUGUGUGUUGGAGAGAACGACAGGUCCCUGUGUUGGGGAAGGUUGGAGGCAACCAGAUGGGAAUUAAAGGUACAUAAUAGGAUCUGGAGCAUAGCAUGUGCUUUUCAAGGGUGCCGCCUUGCCUCUUUCUGGAAGAAUCAUCAGCAUGAAGAUUCAAGUCUCUCCAUUUGGUUCAGUUUCACAAUGAGCUGGAAAUAGAAAGAUAAAUAAAAAAAUAAUAAUCAAAUAAAUGAUAAUUACAGGGCACAGAUAAUUUGGCAAACAAAAUAUGAAAAUCUCUAUCAAAGGAGGGAAUAAUUCAUCCAUUCAUUCACUAUUUGUAAGGGACUUACCAUAUGCCAGACGUGUUCUAGGCUCUGGAGAUGUAGCCAAGAAAAAUCAAAUAGGUUAGCUUGCUCUGACACAACUCACAUUCUAGGUGUUGAAGGAUUGGGGUCAUGGAGAACCUUAUGGGGGAGGAAAUGCUUGGAUAGAGCUUCAAAAAAUGAAUAAGAACUUGCUAAUGAGGCAAGGAGGUCAAGGAAAAGGCUUUCUGCAUAGAACCACCAGCACUGUGACCUAUUAUAGCAUGCAUCAGAGUCUCCACCACCAAGUUUCAGAACUGUAUCUCCUGCUAGUCACUAGAUAUUAUCCCCAAUUGGAGGAUUCAAAGAAAUCAUAAACUUAUCAGAUCUAAGGCUGAAUGGAUAAUCUUCCUGCGUCUGCUUUUUUUUUUUUACUUGCCUUUAAAAAAUUCAGAUUUUGUGGUACAAUUUGCAUAUAGUAACAUUUACCCUUUUUAAGUGUAUAGUUCAAUAAGUUUUGACAAAUAAAUACAGUUGUAGAACUGCUACCAUAAAUCAAUAUAUAAAACAUUUUAAUCACCUCAAAA